rnacentral:rRNA from 1 species
AACCUGGUUGAUCCUGCCAGUAGUCAUAUGCUUGUUUCAAAGAUUAAGCCAUGCAUGUCUGAGUACAAGCCGAACUAAGGUGAAACCGCGAAUGGCUCAUUAAAUCAGUUAUGAUCCACUGGAUCUAGUAAAAACCCAUUACUUGGAUAACUGUGGUAAUUCUAGAGCUAAUACAUGCAACUGAGUUCUGACCCCGUCCGUCGAUACUAUUUUUAUUUAAUAGGCGGAUCGGGGGAAGGGCGCAUUUAUUAGAUCACAAAACCGAUCGGACUUCGGUCCGUUAUAAAAUUUAAAAAUAUCUUUCGAGUGAUGACUCUGGAUAACCACGGCCGAGCGCUGCGGUCUUCGAACCGGCGCCGUAUCCUUCGAGUGUCUGCCUUAUCAGCUGUCGAUUGUAGCUUAUUCGUCUACAAUGGCUGUAACGGGUAACGGGGAAUCAGGGUUCGAUUCCGGAGAGGGAGCCUGAGAAACGGCUACCACAUCUAAGGGAGAAGCAGGCACGCAAAUUACCCACUCCCGGCUCAGGGUAGUGACCAGAAAUAACGAUGCGGGACUCUUCCGAGGCCUCGCAAUCGGAAUGAAGUUUACUUUAAAUCCUUACCCAGGAUCGAUUGGAGGG